AUUGAACGCUGGCGGCAUGCUUUUACACAUGCAAGUCGAACGGCAGCGGCGGGGGCAACCCUGGCGGCGAGUGGCGAACGGGUGAGUUAAUGUAUCGGAACGUAUCCUGUAAUGGGGGAUAACCAGUCGAAAGAUUGGGUAAUACCGCAUACGCACGAGAGUGGAAAGUAGGGGAUCGCAAGACCUUACGUUAUAGGAGCGGCCGAUAUCUGAUUAGCUAGUUGGUGGGGUAAAGGCCUACCAAGGCGACGAUCAGUAGCUGGUCUGAGAGGACGACCAGCCACACUGGGACUGAGACACGGCCCAGACUCCUACGGGAGGCAGCAGUGGGGAAUUUUGGACAAUGGGCGAAAGCCUGAUCCAGCCAUGCCGCGUGCAGGAAGAAGGCCUUCGGGUUGUAAACUGCUUUAGUCUAGGAAAAAGGGGUGCGAGGUUAAUACCCUCGUGCUUUGAUGGUACUGGAAGAAUAAGCACCGGCUAACUACGUG
rnacentral:rRNA from 1 species